AGUGAACGCUGGCGGUAGGCCUAACACAUGCAAGUCGAACGGCAGCACAGUAAGAGCUUGCUCUUACGGGUGGCGAGUGGCGGACGGGUGAGGAAUACAUCGGAAUCUACUUUUUCGUGGGGGAUAACGUAGGGAAACUUACGCUAAUACCGCAUACGACCUACGGGUGAAAGCAGGGGAUCUUCGGACCUUGCGCGAUUGAAUGAGCCGAUGUCGGAUUAGCUAGUUGGCGGGGUAAAGGCCCACCAAGGCGACGAUCCGUAGCUGGUCUGAGAGGAUGAUCAGACACACUGGAACUGAGACACGGUCCAGACUCCUAAGGGAGGCAGCAGUGGGGAAUAUUGGACAAAGGGCGCAAGCCUUAUCCAGCCAUACCGCGUGGGUGAAGAAGGCCUUCGGGUUGUAAAGCCCUUUUGUUGGGAAAGAAAAGCAGCAGGUUAAUACCCCGCUGUUCUGACGGUACCCAAAGAAUAAGCAACGGCUAACUUCGUG
rnacentral:rRNA from 1 species